rnacentral:rRNA from 1 species
CGCGUAGGCGGUCUCUUAAGUCAGGUGUGAAAGCCCGGGCUCAACCCCGGAAGUGCACUUGAAACUAAGGGACUUGAGUAUGGGAGAGGGAAGUGGAAUUCCUGGUGUAGCGGUGAAAUGCGUAGAUAUCAGGAGGAACACCGGUGGCGAAGGCGACUUCCUGGACCAAUACUGACGCUGAGGCGCGAAGGCGUGGGUAGCAAACA